GACGAACGCUGGCGGCGUGCUUAACACAUGCAAGUCGAACGGAAAGGCCCUGCUUUUGUUGGUUGCUCGAGUGGCGAACGGGUGAGUAACACGUGAGUAACCUGCCCUUGACUUUGGGAUAACUUCAGGAAACUGGGGCUAAUACCGGAUAGGAGCUCCUGCUCCAUGGUGGGGGUUGGAAAGUUUCGGCGGUUGGGGAUGGACUCGCCGCUUAUCAGCUUGUUGGUGGGGUAGUGGAUUACCACGGCUUUGACGGGUAGCCGGCCUGGGAGGGUGACCGGCCACAUUGGGACUGAGCUACGGCCCAGACUCCUACGGGAGGCAGCAGUGGGGAAUAUUGCACAAUGGGCGGAAGCAUGAUGCAGCAACGCCGCGUGCGGGAUGACGGCAUUCGGGUUGUAAACCGCUUUCGCCUGUGACGAAGCGUGAGUGACGGUAAUGGGUAAAGAAGCACCGGCUAACUACGUG
rnacentral:rRNA from 1 species